rnacentral:rRNA from 1 species
AUCAAACUCCGAAUGCCGUCAUCUUAUACUUGGGAGUCAGACUGUGGGUGAUAAGAUUCAUAGUCGAAAGGGCAACAGCCCAGAUCGUCAGCUACGGUCCCUAAAUGUAAGUUAAGAGGUAACGGUUGUGAGAUUGCAAUGACAACCAGGAUGUUGGCUUAGAAGCAGCCAAUCAUUCAAAGAGUGCGUAAUAGCGCACUGGUCGAGUGAUCCAGCGCCGAAGAUUUCCGGGGCUAACACUUACUACCGAAGCUACGGCAUCAGUAAUGAUGGGAAGGGGAGCUACACAUACGGGUUGAAGCAUGCCCGAAAGACAAUGUGGCUUUUAUGGUAGUGAGAAUGUUGGCAUGAGAAGUCAGAUGUAGUG